rnacentral:rRNA from 1 species
UACGGAGGGGACUAGCGUUGUUCGGAAUUACUGGGCGUAAAGCGCACGUAGGCGGAUUUGUAAGUCAGGGGUGAAAUCCCGGGGCUCAACCUCGGAACUGCCUUUGAUACUGCAAAUCUCGAGUCCGGAAGAGGUGAGUGGAAUUCCUAGUGUAGAGGUGAAAUUCGUAGAUAUUAGGAAGAACACCAGUGGCGAAGGCGGCCGCCUGGGCCAGUCCUGACGCUGAGCCGCGAAAGCGUGGGGAGCGAUCCGG